rnacentral:rRNA from 1 species
CUGGCGGCGUGCUUAACACAUGCAAGUGGAGCGACGAACCGGGGCUUGCCCCGGGGCAGAGCCGCGAACGGGUGAGUAACACGUGGGUAACCUGCCUCAAUGAUUGGGACAACCCGGGGAAACUCGGGCUAAUACCAAAUGUGUUCACUCCUUCCAAGGGGAGUGAGGAAAGGAAGCUUCGGCCUCCGCAUUGAGAUGGGCCCGCGGCCCAUUAGCUUGUUGGUGAGGUAACGGCUCACCAAGGCUUCGAUGGGUAGCUGGUCUGAGAGGACGAUCAGCCACACUGGGACUGAGACACGGCCCAGACUCCUACGGGAGGCAGCAGUGGGGAAUCUUGCACAAUGCGCGAAAGCGUGAUGCAGCAACGCCGCGUGGGGAAGACGGCCUUCGGGUUGUAAACCCCUUUCAGUUGGGACGAAGCUUCGUCGGUGAAUAGCCGGUUGGAGUGACGGUACCUUCAGAAGAAGCCCCGGCUAACUACGUG